AUAGCUGUCUCCUGUACCUUGUCGUUGAAAACCAUCGCCAAUUUUUCUGAAUAAAAAAUCCCCUUUUCCCGAAGAUUGAAAUUCGUCUUGUUUUGAGGGCUUUCAGAAUUGUUUCAUAAACCAAAUUGUUGAGAAAUUUGUAGAAGAAUAAUGGGCCAACCUGUAGAGGAAUGGUACAAACAGAUGCCAAUCACCUGCACCUAUCUCACAGCCACUAUCGUCACCACAAUCGGUUGCUCUCUCGAUGUUUUUAUCUCUCUCUCUUUCCUUUCUUUGUGUGUUUUUUAUUUUCUUUUCAAUAGAAAGGGCUUGAAUUUUUUAUUGUUUUGGUGUGCUUUUUAAGGGUUUUGGGGGUUUGAUGGUGUAAUGCGUGGUGAUUUUGUUCCUGGGUAAAUGGGUUUCUUUGUUUUGAGAGGAUUUUAACUGCGUUUGGUUCAUAUUUGAGAAUUUUGGUGCUUUCAUUGAAUGAUAGAUCCUGAGUUUUAGUUUUGUAUUUAGCAUGAAAAUGAUUGGUUUUGAUUUUUUUAUUAAGAUUUAUUAUUAUUGCUUGGUUUUUUGUUUUGAUUGGGUUGUAAUUUUGAGGAGCUAUUGUUUACUAUUCUUAUGUAUUUGCUGUUUUGUGUUACAAUUUCAUAGAUAAUAUCACCCUUUAAUCUGUGCUUGCAUCCAACACUUGUGGUUAAGCAGUAUCAGUUCUGGCGCCCAAUCACUAAUUUUCUUUUCUUCUGAAAAAUGGUUAAGUUUCUGAUUGAUAUUGGUAAAAAUUUGUUGUUUCCUUUGAGUGUCUCUUUUGCAUCUUGAUUAUACUGCUUGAGAUUUACUGUCGAAACAUGGGUUCGUUAGCAUGUAGAGGAAGGCACAUCAAGUAUACCUCUACAUUUACACAUGCUCCACAGUAACAACAAUGUUCUUGUUUGUCAAAACCUGUGAAUUGUUGAUCAAAUGAAGUUACUAGGCUUGGAAAUGAUUUGCGGAUUUUCUUCAUACCUGUAAUGUCUGAGUAUGACUAUAUGAGCAUCUCUGCAUUAAUUUUUAUGAGCAUCUCUGCAUUAAAUUUUUACGUUCACAAAUAGCUACAUUACCAAAUUAGCAAGUUUAUGGUUAAUACAUGAUGGUAAUGUAGGUUUUGUUUCUCUAUAAAAGUUUAGAUAGUCAAGUUUGUCGUUAAGACAUGCUGACCUAUAGCUUUUUCACUAUUAAGUAACCUUCUUGUCCUGUCUGAUGCCUUUAACGUAGUCCCGAGGUUAGAUUUUAUUAAUUCAAAUAACUAUGGGGAGUCUGAAGUCUAUAUUUGUCACUCUCUCAUCUCUCUUCCAACAAAAAAAGUUAUUUAUAUUCAAUAACUUGACAUGACUUUCAUGUUGCAGUAUGAAGUGUAUUUAUUGACAUCGAAGUGAGAAUAAUUUUUUUCUUAAUUUCUUUCUUCUCACAUACCCCCUAUUUCGUCAGUUCAUGCUUCAAUAUAAUAUUAUAAUGUAGAGAGAUAUGGGAGCAGAAGAGGUUCGUGCUGAGAUAUAUGAUAUAUAUGGUUACAACUUACAAUGUGGUGACAAUGAUUUUAAUUUGGAUAAAUUCAAUGCUUAGUGACAUCUGACAUCUUGCUUUUGCAAUGAAUGGUUCCAUCUAUUUUUAAUCUUUUAGAGCUCAGACAACUAAGUUUUAUUUCAGAAACUUUUGAGCCUAGGAUCAAAAUGUAUUUACUUCUGACGUUUAAUAUGCAAAAGUAAUAUUAAUUAUUUGUUUAUGUUUCGGAUACAAUCGUAAUAAGUUCAUACUGAUUUUUGUGAAUUACUUAGUCCUCAUUUUCUGAUAGCUGUAUGAGUGUAAUUAGGGGGUGUGGUGUGGGAACUGGAAAAACUUGUCAAUUACGAGCUUAUAUAUUCCGGAGGAAGUGUUUUGUUUCAAAUACAAAUACUUACAAGGACGGGUUUCACGUUCAUUCUUCCACAAUCACGUAAACACUGUAAACUAAACUAGUGGGCUUAUCAUGUAUCAAAAAUAAAGAUUUAGUUUGGGAUGAGCCUUGACCCAAAAUCAAUGUUUCUCACAGAGCCCAAACUUAAUACGAUUCUGUGAAUAUUCUUUAGCCCUGGGCUCCUGGAUAAUUGACUAUAUUUACUUGGCCCUGUAUUUUUUGCCUCAUUCACAAAUUUACGCUGAUGAAAUUAUUCAGUCAAGAGCCAUAAUUAGAAGCCACCUACAAAUGAUUGUUGUUCUCAACUACGAUGAUGAAGGAACAAGUACAAGCAUUUGGACUAUUUGUUCCAUAUGUUCUUUCUUGGUCGAUACUGCAAGCUUGUUGAGGAGAACUCUUUCAGGGGAAGGACUGUAGAUUUCUUUUACAUGCUUUUGUUUGGAGCAACAUUUUUAACAGACACUGUUCUUAUUGGGGGAAUGAUACCUUAUUUGUCAGAAUCAUUUGCGAAAUUCAUAUUCCUUAACAAUUCAUUGACACUCAUGAUGGUGUAUGUGUGGAGCAAACAAAAUCCUUUCAUCCAUAUGAGUUUUUUGGGUUUGUUUACAUUUACCGCAGCUUAGCUACCAUGGUUCAUGGGGGAAAAAAUAUACAUAGAUGCAGAGAUCGAAGAGAAUGGACGAUGUACGUAUCAAACGUUUUUUAGUUAUUGAUGUUUCAUUGAUGUCAAGGCGUCAAUGAUGGAAGAAAUAUGUAUCAAACUUUUGUUGAAUGAUAUGCUACUAUUGUUGAAUUUUGUUUACUAAAUUAAUUGAAAGAUUG